AUCAGGCACUUUAAAACAUCAACCUCAGUUCUGCGAUCAGGAACCAGAGGUGACAGGGACAAUCUUGUAAAGAUAGGUGUCUCAAAGAACCAAUACUGCUGCCCGUAAAAGCAGGUGAGAAACUUCCAAGGAAAGCAAUGAAAAUCCUGGAAUCUUAAAUUCUUAACACCAGACUGAGUGCAGCACAAUCAGGACUGUAACAAACAACAAAAUGACGCUCCAGACCACUAGGAAGUUUUACUCCAACUCUGAAUUACCGAAGUCAAGGGACAAUAAAAACUUCCAGUUCUGCAGAAUCACAGAUAAUCAGCUCUGAGAAACCUGCCUGUAUUUAGGCAACAGGCCACGUAAUCCAAAAGCUUCUCACAAUGAAAAAAAGCCAAUGCAAAUUUGAAGAUGCCAUUUUUCAGAAAUGCAGAAAUCUACUUCGUCCGGUCACUACCUGCUACAAAUGUUACAUACAGUUAUUUGGUACCACUUACUUUAUUCUUGCAGUGUUACCUGAAAUAAAGGGUAAAUAAAAUAA